rnacentral:rRNA from 1 species
UACGUAGGGUCCAAGCGUUAUCCGGAAUCACUGGGCGUAAAGCGUGCGUAGGUGGCGCGUUAAGUGAGAUGUUAAAUCGUGUGGCUCAACCAUAUCGAUGCAUCUCAUACUGGCGUGCUAGAGGACAGCAGAGGCAAGUGGAAUUGGUAGUGUAGCAGUGAAAUGCGUAGAUAUUACCAGGAACACCAAUGGCGAAGGCAGCUUGCUGGGCUACUCCUGACACUGGAGGUAACGAAAGCGUGGGGAGCGAACAGGA